rfam:Niastella koreensis GR20-10, complete genome.
AAGAGUAUAUAGCGAUAUAUGCUUGUUUAACAGAAGUCAGCCGAGGCCGUAGUACCUGAAGAACGAGGGAAGGGC